rnacentral:rRNA from 1 species
UGGGGGAUAUUGCACAAUGGGGGAAACCCUGAUGCAGCGACGCCGCGUGGAGGAAGAAGGUUUUCGGAUUGUAAACUCCUGUCGUUAGGGACGAUAAUGACGGUACCUAACAAGAAAGCACCGGCUAACUACGUGCCAGCAGCCGCGGUAAAACGUAGGGUGCAAGCGUUGUCCGGAAUUACUGGGUGUAAAGGGAGCGCAGGCGGGAAGACAAGUUGGAAGUGAAAACCAUGGGCUCAACCCAUGAAUUGCUUUCAAAACUGUUUUUCUUGAGUAGUGCAGAGGUAGAUGGAAUUCCCGGUGUAGCGGUGGAAUGCGUAGAUAUCGGGAGGAACACCAGUGGCGAAGGCGGCCUACUGGGCACCAACUGACGCUGAGGCUCGAAAGUGUGGGUAGCAAACAGGAUUAGAUACCCUGGUAGUCCACACCGUAAACGAUGAUUACUAGGUGUUGGAGGAUUGACCCCUUCAGUGCCGCAGUUAACACAAUAAGUAAUCCACCUGGGGAGUACGACCGCAAGGUUGAAACUCAAAGGAAUUGACGGGGGCCCGCACAAGCAGUGGAGUAUGUGGUUUAAUUCGACGCAACGCGAAGAACCUUACCAAGUCUUGACAUCCCUUGACGAACAUAGAAAUAUGUUUUCUCUUCGGAGCAAGGAGACAGGUGGUGCAUGGUUGUCGUCAGCUCGUGUCGUGAGAUGUUGGGUUAAGUCCCGCAACGAGCGCAACCCUUACUGUCAGUUACUACGCAAGAGGACUCUGGCAGGACUGCCGUUGACAAAACGGAGGAAGGUGGGGAUGACGUCAAAUCAUCAUGCCCUUUAUGACUUGGGCUACACACGUACUACAAUGGCGUUAAACAAAGAGAAGCAAGACCGCGAGGUGGAGCAAAACUCAGAAACAACGUCCCAGUUCGGACUGCAGGCUGCAACUCGCCUGCACGAAGUCGGAAUUGCUAGUAAUCGUGGAUCAGCAUGCCACGGUGAAUACGUUCCC